AUGGUCCUGGUGCCACGCCCGGCCAUCUGCCCCCUUCUUGUAGUCCUCACAGAAGAUCAGCUGCAAACCGGAGGAGAAAAAGAAAGGAUGUGUUUAAGGGUUCUUUAUUGGAUAGAAUGUUUCUCUAGGGAACCAAAAAAACGGAUCAAAAUGCCGUGCCUGACUGCAGAGAUGCCGUGCCUGACUGCAGAGAUGCCGUGCCUGACUGCAGAGAUGCCGUGCCUGACUGCAGAGAUGCCGUGUCUGACUGCAGAGAUGCCGUGUCUGACUGCAGAGAUGCCGUGUCUGACUGCAGAGAUGCCGUGUCUGACUGCAGAGAUGCCGUGUCUGACUGCAGAGAUGCCGUGUCUGACUGCAGAGAUGCCGUGUCUGCGGUUGUCUUCCAUAGAAUCAGAAUGAAUAGCACUGGAAUCCCUCAUUCAAUUAAUGUAUUUUGUCUAGUGUGUAAUGUACAGUCGUGCCCCAAACGUUGAGAAUGACACAAAUAUAAAUUUUCAAAGUCUGCUGCCUCAGAUUGUAUGAUGGCAAUUUGCAUAUAGUCCAGAAUGUUAUGAAGAGUGAUCAGAUGAAUUGCAAAGUCCCUCUUCGCCAUGCAAAUUAACUGAAUUCCCCCCCAAAACAUUCACUGCAUUUCAGCCCUGCCACAAAAGGACCAGCUGACAUGUCAGUGAUUCUCUCGUUAACACAGGUGUGAGUAUUGACGAGUACAAGGCUGGAGAGCACUGUCAAGCUGAUUGAGUUCAAAUAACAUCAAUAUUUUGGGUCCAUGGCCAGGAAACUCCCCAGACCUUAAUCCCAUUGACAACUUGUGGUUAAUCCUCAAGGUGGGUGACCAAACAAGAACCCACAAAUUCAAGAAUGGGCUGCAAUCAGUCAGGAUGUGGCCCAGAAGUUAAUUGACAGCAUGCCAGAGCGAAUUGCAGAAGUCUUGAAAAAGAAGGGUCAACACUGCAAAUAUUGACUCCUUUGCAUCAACUUCAUGUAAUCGUCAAUAAAAGCCUUUGACACUUAGGAAAUGCUUGUAAUUAUACUUCAUAGUUCCGUAGUAACUUCUGACAAAGAUAUCUAAAAGACACUGAAGCAGCAAACUUUGAAAAUUUAUAUUUGUGUCAUCUUCAAAACUUUUGGCCACAACCGUACAGUGUCUAUUUUGUAUACAGCAGUUCUGUGUCUCAAAGACAAUUUUCCCGUUGGGACAUUAAUGUUCAUCCUAUGAGUCUCCCCUCACCUCGUCAGACCCUGAACAGCGUGGUCUGGUCCUCUGGCAGUACCAUCUUCCACAGAGCAGCCCUACUCCGCCCCCCUCACCUCGUCAGACCCUGAACAGCGUGGUCUGGUCCUCUGGCAGUACAAUCUUCCACAGAGCAGCCCUACUCCGCCCCCCUCACCUCGUCAGACCCUGAACAGCGUGGUCUGGUCCUCUGGCAGUACCAUCUUCCACAGAGCAGCCCUACUCCGCCCCCCUCACCUCGUCAGACCCUGAACAGCGUGGUCUGGUCCUCUGGCAGUACAAUCUUCCACAGAGCAGCCCUACUCCGCCCCCCUCACCUCGUCAGACCCUGAACAGCGUGGUCUGGUCCUCUGGCAGUACCAUCUUCCACAGAGCAGCCCUACUCCGCCCCCCUCACCUCGUCAGACCCUGAACAGCGUGGUCUGGUCCUCUGGCAGUACCAUCUUCCACAGAGCAGCCCUACUCCGCCCCCCUCACCUCGUCAGACCCUGAACAGCGUGGUCUGGUCCUCUGGCAGUACCAUCUUCCACAGAGCAGCCCUACUCCGCCCCCCUCACCUCGUCAGACCCUGAACAGCGUGGUCUGGUCCUCUGGCAGUACCAUCUUCCACAGAGCAGCCCUACUCCGCCCCCCUCACCUCGUCAGACCCUGAACAGCGUGGUCUGGUCCUCUGGCAGUACUAUCUUCCACAG
rnacentral:lncRNA from 1 species